rnacentral:rRNA from 1 species
UAAUACGGAGGGUGCAAGCGUUAUCCGGAUUCACUGGGUUUAAAGGGUGCGUAGGUGGGUUGGUAAGUCAGUGGUGAAAUCUCCGAGCUUAACUUGGAAACUGCCAUUGAUACUAUUAAUCUUGAAUAUUGUGGAGGUCAGCGGAAUAUGUCAUGUAGCGGUGAAAUGCUUAGAGAUGACAUAGAACACCAAUUGCGAAGGCAG